AGAAUCAUUCACAAUGGGGGAAACCCUGAUGGUGCAACGCCGCGUGGAGGAUGACGGCCUUCGGGUUGUAAACUCCUGUCAUCUGGGAGUAAGCCUUGUGCGCUAAUACCGUGCAAGGUUGAUAGUACCAGAAGAGGAAGGGCCGUCUAACUUCGUGCCAGCAGCCGCGGUAAUACGAAGGUCCCAAGCGUUGUUCGGAAUCACUGGGCGUAAAGCGUGCGUAGGCGGAGCGGCAAGUCAGAUGUGAAAUCUUCGGGCUCAACCCGGAAACUGCAUCCGAUACUGCCGUGCUGGAGUAAUGGAGGGGUAGCUGGAAUUCUCGGUGUAGCAGUGAAAUGCGUAGAUAUCGAGAGGAACACUCGUGGCGAAGGCGAGCUACUGGACAUUUACUGACGCUGAGGCACGAAGGCCAGGGUAGCGAAA
rnacentral:rRNA from 1 species